rnacentral:lncRNA from 1 species
AUGGGAAUAGACCAAAAAAAUCAAGGGUCAAUGGCAUGAACUAAGCUGAUCCUGGAAAUCAGGGAUGUUGCAUCUAACUGUGGGAUGGAGGCACAGAGGUAGCUACAGGGAGCAGGACGAGGCAAAGAAAGCAGCUGUCACUCAGAGUUCGCUUAUGAGUUUUAUCAAAAGCAGCAAGAAAAGCAGUCUUGGGUGGGUUUUAUCACUUAUUAACAGCCAUUUAUGAGGCCCCUGCUGUGUGUCAGGCACUGUGCAAGGUGCUGGAGGUUCCCCAGAGAACACUUCAGGGACAUUUUGCCUCAGGGUGGCAAAAUGCAGUGGCAUGUGGACUUUUUGAAUGGGAUGCCAUUUGCAGCUUUCCUUUGAUGGACUCUUGUUCAUAAUGCCAUGUUUUCUUUAAUGAAUCAUUUAGGAUUCUUAGGUGAUAUUUCUGGAACAGCACCAUCAACAGCUUUGGCCACAUGCACUUAGAGCAACUAACUUGCCUCCUGCCGGGGUGUAGGUGCGUUGGUGACAGUGUAGAAGGGUGAUUCGCAGGCCCAUGUUCUGCCCACCAGCAAAGCCCCACUGGAGAAGGGUAGACUCCUGUGGGCAGUCUCAGAGCUGGGACCUAUUUGCUUCUGCUUGAUUCUGCGUGGGUGGACCCACAUGAGCAGCUGUAUACCCAGGAGGUCACUAAGACUUUAUAAAGGCAGGUUUUAAGAAAACCAGCCUUGGCAUCACCACCAGCAGAUACUGAAAGCCUCCCCAGGAACCUGUCUGGGGAAGGAUGAUGCCUCUGCUGGUCUGAUCGUGCUGAGUAGCAGGUGGGCUACGGGGACUGGGGAGUUAAGCAUUUUGUGCAGUGAUAGAGAAGUCAAGCAUAUCGUUAGCGCUCUCUCAACUUGGGCAGUUCACAAGCUCCUUCCCAGCUCAGAAGCCCUCUCUAUGCUCUCAGGGGAAGCAGAUGGGGUGGAUCAGUACAUCUGUGUUACCCUUCCAGAAUAUUAUUUGAAAAUUCUACAGUAUGUUCUACUUUCUCCCCUUCCUGCUUCCAUGGUUUCACUGUGGAAUCCUAUAAGAUAUUCUCCUGAGCAGUAUUAUUUCAGUUUCCUUCAGCUUUUAGUUGAAUCUUCAAUGUGGUUUUAACCAACUGUUCAGAGAACUGAAAUGGUUUUUAAAUAUGAAAAAGGACCUUUGUAAAAAUGGAGUAAAACAGUGCCCCUUUUUUAAAAAAAGUUUUGCUUAUGCUUAAUUUACAUAGGACUCAGGAGAGUUUGGAACAUCCUCCAAGUGGGCCAUAGAGCUGUCACAAAGAAGAGGCCAUGAUGUUUAGAAACAAGGGGACACUAGCAGGAGGGGCAGGGUCCACUGGCUUAGUGGCAACUGACAGGCAUCCAUUCCGAAUAACUCAGCACUGAGGUUUCCUCAGGCAGUUCUUUAGGAAAACUGUCAGCAUCAUGGGUACUCAGAGGUAUGGUAGACCUUGUAGAAGAUCCACUAGGAAGUCCUCCUUCACCAAAUCAUGUAGCUACUGCCCUUGAGCCAAAGGCAAUGAGGUUUAAAACAAAAACCCAACAGCACUCCUGGGAACAUCCUGUUUUCCAUGCGGAAGCAUAGCAGAUCCCCAGACGAUCCGUGUGCUGUAUGCUACCUGUUGAACCCUAGCAUGGUGGCUUUUUAAAAGGUUAUUUAUGACUUUUAUUUUUGGGUAAGGCAUUAUGGCCAGGUGCAUGCAGUUAUGUCUGGGUUACGUGUGAAACGUACAUCUGGUGAACUGUAUACUUGGCUCAAACUUCUCAAAAUUUAGAGGUGCUGGAAAGGAUUGUCACUUGGAGCCUUUAGUAGACAAAAGGCAGAAAGUGAGCAUCAUUUCAGAAAUGCUUUAGUAUGCACACUUUUAGCUGAUAUUUUGAUAUAUAGAAUAAUAAUAUACACAGUGGAGAAUAUUCAAAGAGUGGCUGAAGGGAGAAUACAGAGCCAGUAGGGCCAAAAUGAAACUUCUAGGAUGUCUUCUGAAUUUUCAGCACAUGGGGGGAAUAAGUGAACAAAUUUCCCAACAUCGUGCAAUGCUUUAUAGCACAAUGAUCUAGAUUUCAGACUGUGUUAAGGUUUUUUCUUUGUUGAUGUUGUUGUUUUAAUUCUAAUGUGCACGGUGUGACUGGCAGAGUGAGUUUAAAAGCUUUACGAGUGAUUAAUUGCUUGGCAGGCACCCACGCUAUCUGCAUUUCCAGAACUUUACUGAUGCAUCCAUGUACAUUUCCACUGAGGAAUUUUGGUGGGUGGGGGGAGGUUGUGCUGCCUCACAAUGUCACGUGUAUUAAAGUCUAAGCAGUCACUUCUGAUUCACUUGCACUGUUUGGGAAAUGUCAGGUUUACAAAAACAUACAUGUUUGGAAUAAAAAAUGGCUGCAAACAAUUCAGAAGUUCAAUCUGUAAUUUACUUGCUAAUAAGAACUUUUUAAAGUGUUGAAGCUAGGGUUUCAAUGUAAUACAACAUGAGCAUUAAAGAGAACAUCAAGGUCCAUCUAAUUCACAUGAACAACCCACCUGAUGUGGCUGAACUGUCUGCAGUCCUUGGCCUCCACACAAGAGGUACCACCUCCUCUCUGCAUCACCCUGACUCCCCUGGCCCAGGGCUACACCUAGGUUCUUGAUCUUGAGAUAAAUGUGCCCAAAUUAAAUGGUAUGGAUUCCUUAUUAUCAGUAGACUUCUUUCACAUGUGCCUGCCAGUUACUAAGCAUUUUUCCAGAAGCAUUUUGAUAACAUUCUUACACAUUUACAAAUAUUGUAUUCUCUUAGGUUUUCACUCUCCUUCAUCUGUCUAUUAAUAGUUAUGUUCUUGUUCAUAUUCCACAUGCUGUUCAUUUAUGUGUUUUUUUUUCCCUAGACAAGACUGUUACCAGAUAGGGGUUCCAAUCCAGACACCAAGAGCAAGUUCUUGGAUCUUGGGCUAUCAAGAAUUCGAGGCUAGUCCCUAAACUGAAAGCAAGUUUAUUAAGAAAGUAAAGGAAUAAAAGAAUGGCUAUUCCAUAGACAGAACAGGACCAGGGCUGCUGGUUGCCCAUUUUUAUUGUUACUUCUUGAUUAUAUGCUAAACGAGGGGUGGAUUAUGCAUGAGUUUUCAGGGAAAGGAGUGGACAAUUCCCGGAACUGAGGGUUCCUCCCCUUUCUAGACCAUAUACUACGGUAACUUCCUGACGUUGCCAUGGCAUCUGCAAACUGUCAAGACACCGGUGGGAGUGUCUUUUAACAUGAUAAUGCAUUAUAAUUAGCACAUAAUGAGCAGUGAGGGGAACCAGAAGUUACUCUUGUAGCCAUGUUGGUUUUGGUGGGUUUUGGCUGGCUUCUUUAUAACAGCCUGUUUUAACAAGGUUUUUAUGACCUGUAUCUUGUGCCAACCCCCUGUCUCAUCCUGUGACAGGAUGCCUAACCUCCUGGGAAUGCAGCGCAGUAGCUCUCAGCCUUAUUUUACCCAGCCCCUAUUCAAGAUGGAGUUGCUCUGGUUCAAACGCCUCUGACAAGACCAAUAAAGAUCUAUGUAUUUUCUUGGUGUUUUUCAAGAGUAAGCCUUUGGCUGUACCAAUCAAGUCUACUGGGUUUUGCUUUCUAUUUCGUUACUGCUUUUAGAUUUAUUAAAAUUUCUUCUAUUGCCUGAUGGUUAAAAUUCAUACACAUAGACACCACACAGUAUAAAAGAGUUAUGAAAAAAUAUACACCAAUGGGUUAAGAAUGAUUGUCUUUAGGUAAGUGAGAUUGUCAGGCUUUUGCUUUGUUUUAUUUUGUUUUUAUUUGAAUAUUCGUUUUCUACAGUGAGCAUGUAUUUUGUAACAAUGAAACAUAUGCAGAUUACUUGUAAAUAAAAUUAUAUCUGGGAGACUAUAAAUUGCUAAGCCAAAAGAGAUGCCACAUUGUAGGUCUGGAAAGAGAUUUGUUGCAGCAAAGAGCAUUGAUGAGCCUGACACUUAUGACAAUGGUCCAGUGAGUAAUUUCAAGCAUUUUAAUUCCAGUGCUUCCUGGCUUAACAAACCUGCCACCAUUACUAAUGCUAAUUAAAUAGGUUUCUCUGAGGUUGCCCAACCUGUUUUCCUAAGCCAGGAAAUGGACUCGACAAACUCAAAAGAAUCAAAAGAUACAAAUUUAAGAGGAAGAAAAAUCACUAAUUAGUGAAGUCUGCUUCCUAUUCAAUCAGGAGUUUUACAGCUCACCAGAUUACCUCUCAUCCUUAAAGUCUGUCUGGUCCUCAGGUUACUGUUUAGUAACAGAAUUGAUGUAAGAAUUACUUAGAGCUCAGGCUGCACUAUCAGACCGACUGGCAGCUAUCCAUCAGCAAAGCCACCUGUCCCUAAGAUCAUGUCCGUUCACUCUAUGUAUACAUGCAACUAAAGUGUGUAUAAUGAGAUAUUGCCAUCCCUGAGCUGAAAUCUAAGGCUGCCUGCUGCCAAAUCUCUGCUUUGCUUCAAAGUCCAAAUUAUUUUAUAUUUUAUUUUAAAUCAGUUUUUUAAUCCUAAAAAUUAAACCUCAAUAAAGGGAUAACUACUAUCCUUUGAAGACAACCAAUUGGUAUUUUAAAAAGUUGGCAUUUAAAAAAGAAUCUCCAGGAAAUGUUUCUUCUAGAAGAUGACUGAUUAGGAAAAAAUGAAAUUAUCUCCAAUUCCACAUCUACUCUGAACCCACCUUAUCAGGAGAAUAUUUGGCUCCAUAUAAUAGAAAACUCCGAAUUAAUAAGGCCUUAAACAUGAUAAAAGUGUGUUCCUCUCUCCCAAAAAAAGAAGCAGAAGCUCUGGUACAGCAGCUCCAUGGGCAUCAGGAAUCCAGCUCCUGUCUUUCUCAGCACCCUCAAGGUUGCCUCAUGGUCUGAGAUGACUACCAGGGAACUAGCUAUCAUGUCCACAUUCCAAGCCAAAAAUAGAAGAGGACAAAAUGACAUAUGCCCCCUCCCUUUUAACUAUUCUUCCUAGAAGUUCCAUAUAACGCUGGCCAGAAAUUAAUUAUGUAUGUAGAUAUACCCACCCACUAAGGAGGCUGGGGAAUGCAUUAUUAAGGAAUAAGAGGAGGGUAAGUGUUAAGAGACAACUACCAGUUGCCACACCCUCCACUGAGAAAAUAUUCAGACUAUAGCUGCCUUGAGCUCUAAACUUGUACGCUUCAAAUCCUUAAGUCUGGCUGGAUUUAAGCAAGAGGCAAACCUUUAUUUGGGCUGGAGUCAGGGAUGGGGUGGAUGCAUGGAGCUGGUUAAUCAUAUUCAUGUCCAUACAAAGCCCUUUCUUCUUUUAUGUAACUUUUCUCCUUUGUGUCCCCACCCUCACUCACAUUCCCCUCUCUCCCAGAGGAACCAAGUCUAAUAAAUACAUGCCCUUAAACAUGGAUGUACAUCAUAUUAUUUUUUAUGUUUCACUUAAAUGGUAUUGAGCACACACUGUUUUAUUUUUCCAGGUUGUAUUGAUGUUGCUGUGUUUACAUUUGGUUCAUUGUUUCUGGCUACAGCAUUACAUUCUACAUUAUGUUUUCAGCACAUUUCACUUCUCCAGCCCCUCUGAAGGAAGCCUUUGCUGCUUUCACUGCCUGCUGCAGUGAACACUCACAUGGCCCUUUAUGGGUGGAGCUAGAAUCUCAUGGUAUCUAUCAUAUAUAUGACAUCUGAAGGUGGUUGGUUACGUUCUCAUUUCGUUGCUAGAUUCUCUCUAAAAUGACCACAGACUGGACACUCCCAGCAACAGUGUAUAUUCCCACAUCCUUGCCCAAAAUGGAAUUAUCUGACCUAAAAUGUUAGAAUUACUUAUCUUUUUCUGAUGAAACUGAACAUUCUAUCAUUAUGCACUGAUCCUUUUUUAUCUUUAGUAAUACUUUCUUAUCUUAAAGUCUAUUUUGAUUAGUAUUUACACAACAUAUCUUUUUCCAUCCUUUUAUUAUAAUCUUUCUAUAUCCAUGUGCUUUGGAUGUGUCAUUUGUAAACAUCAUACAGCUGAAUGUUAAAAAUCCGUUCUAACACAAUCUUUAUCAUUUUACUGGAACAUUUAUUUUAUUUACAUUUAUUGUUAUUAAUGAAAUAAUUGGAUUUAUUUCUAUCAUCUUUUGUGUUUUCUUUUGUCCACCUUUUUAUACUUUUCUCUCCUUUCUCUUCUUUGUUUUCACAUUCCAUUCUUCCCCUCCAUUAUUCACUUUUAUUCUUUAUGCAGAUAACAGAUACUUUAAAACUUUAAGCCUUACAAUAGCCAGGCACAGUGGCUCAUGCCUGUAAUCCCAGCACUUUGGGAGGCCGAGGCGGGUGGAUCAUGAGGUCAGGAAUUCAAGACCAGCCUGGCCAACAUGGAGAAAC